rnacentral:SRP_RNA from 1 species
GCUGGGUAUGGUGGUGCACACCUGUAGUCCUAGCUACCUGGGAGGCUGAGGUGGGAGGAUCGCUUGAGCCUGGGAAGUGGAGGUUGCAGUGAGCUGAGAUUGCACCACUGCACUCCAACCUGGGCAACAGAGUGAGAUCCCAUCACAA